rnacentral:piRNA from 1 species
UGACAAAGGUUUUGCAGAGCCCUGCAAGG